GACGAACGCUGGCGGCAUGCCUAACACAUGCAAGUCGAACGGAGUUUCUUAAAUGGAUCCCUUCGGGGUGAAGCUUUUGAAACUUAGUGGCGGACGGGUGAGUAACGCGUGGGUAACCUGCCCCCUCCCCGGGAUAGCCGCCCGAAAGGACGGGUAAUACCGGAUACCCCGGGGUGCCGCAUGGCGCCCCGGCUAAAGCCCCGACGGGAGGGGAUGGCUCCGCGGCCCAUCAGGUAGACGGCGGGGUGACGGCCCACCGUGCCGACAACGGGUAGCCGGGUUGAGAGACCGACCGGCCAGAUUGGGACUGAGACACGGCCCAA
rnacentral:rRNA from 1 species